rnacentral:rRNA from 2 species
GGACGAACGCUGGCGGCGUGCCUAAUACAUGCAAGUCGAACGAACUCUGGUAUUGAUUGGUGCUUGCAUCAUGAUUUACAUUUGAGUGAGUGGCGAACUGGUGAGUAACACGUGGGAAACCUGCCCAGAAGCGGGGGAUAACACCUGGAAACAGAUGCUAAUACCGCAUAACAACUUGGACCGCAUGGUCCGAGUUUGAAAGAUGGCUUCGGCUAUCACUUUUGGAUGGUCCCGCGGCGUAUUAGCUAGAUGGUGRGGUAACGGCUCACCAUGGCAAUGAUACGUAGCCGACCUGAGAGGGUAAUCGGCCACAUUGGGACUGAGACACGGCCCAAACUCCUACGGGAGGCAGCAGUAGGGAAUCUUCCACAAUGGACGAAAGUCUGAUGGAGCAACGCCGCGUGAGUGAAGAAGGGUUUCGGCUCGUAAAACUCUGUUGUUAAAGAAGAACAUAUCUGAGAGUAACUGUUCAGGUAUUGACGGUAUUUAACCAGAAAGCCACGGCUAACUACGUGCCAGCAGCCGCGGUAAUACGUAGGUGGCAAGCGUUGUCCGGAUUUAUUGGGCGUAAAGCGAGCGCAGGCGGUUUUUUAAGUCUGAUGUGAAAGCCUUCGGCUCAACCGAAGAAGUGCAUCGGAAACUGGGAAACUUGAGUGCAGAAGAGGACAGUGGAACUCCAUGUGUAGCGGUGAAAUGCGUAGAUAUAUGGAAGAACACCAGUGGCGAAGGCGGCUGUCUGGUCUGUAACUGACGCUGAGGCUCGAAAGUAUGGGUAGCAAACA